GUCCUGGCAGUAAACGGUGCACGCUUGGUAUGGGGAAUCGACCCCUCCCGUGCCGGAGCUAACGCGUUAAGCGUGCCGCCUGGGAAGUACGGUCGCAAGAUUAAAACUCAAAGAAAUUGACGGGACCCGCACAAGCGGUGGAGUAUGUGGCUUAAUUCGAUGCAACGCGAAGAACCUUACCUGGGCUUGACAUGCAUCUCUCAAAACGGUGAAAGCCGUGGAUAGGAGCAAUCCUAAAUUUGCACAGGUGUUGCAUGGCUGUCGU
rnacentral:rRNA from 1 species